AAUGAACGUUGGCGGCGUGGAUUAGGCAUGCAAGUCGUACGGGCGUAGCAAUACGUCAGUGGCGAAAGGGAUAGUAAUACAUAGAUCAUCUGCCCCCCGGCCGGGGAUAGCUACGGGAAACUGUAGGUAAUACCCGAUGAUUUCUCCGGAACAAAGGUGUGACUCCGCCGGGGGAUGAGUCUACGUCCUAUUAGCUUGUUGGCGAGGUAAUGGCUCACCAAGGCUAUGAUGGGUACGAGGCGUGAGAGCGUGUCCUCGAUCACUGGGACUGAGACACUGCCAGACACCUACGGGUGGCUGCAGUCGAGAAUCUUCGGCAAUGGACGAAAGUCUGACCGAGCGACGCCGCGUGUGGGAUGAAGGUCUUCGGAUUGUAAACCACUGUAAGUUGGGAGGAAGUGCAUGGGGGUUCUCCCCUGUGUUUGACCUAUCUUCAAAGUAAGGACGGGCUAAGUUCGUGCCAGCAGCCGCGGUAA
rnacentral:rRNA from 1 species